CCUACGGGUGGCAGCAGUGGGGAAUAUUGGACAAUGGGCGAAAGCCUGAUCCAGCCAUGCCGCGUGUGUGAAGAAGGCCUUCGGGUUGUAAAGCACUUUCAGUGGGGAAGAAAGCCUUGGGGCUAAUACCCUCGAGGAAGGACAUCACCCACAGAAGAAGCACCGGCUAACUCCGUGCCAGCAGCCGCGGUAAUACGGAGGGUGCGAGCGUUAAUCGGAAUUACUGGGCGUAAAGCGCGCGUAGGCGGUCUGAUAAGCCGGUUGUGAAAGCCCCGGGCUCAACCUGGGAACGGCAUCCGGAACUGUCAGGCUAGAGUGCAGGAGAGGAAGGUGGAAUUCCCGGUGUAGCGGUGAAAUGCGUAGAGAUCGGGAGGAAUACCAGUGGCGAAGGCGGCCUUCUGGACUGACACUGACGCUGAGGUGCGAAAGCGUGGGUAGCAAACAGGAUUAGAUACCCUUGUAGU
rnacentral:rRNA from 1 species